CAAUUUGAGUCCUGAUCAACAUCUGGAAAAGAGAGGCAUCACCACCAUGCCAUCAUUCUAAUUUAAAGUUUUAAGCAAGUGUGAUUAUGAUGGCGUUGUUGCUCAUAUAUUCUGUCUGAGGAGGCUGCCGACUUUGUAUAAAAAGGAUAACUGCAGAUAAAGAGGGAAAUUGUCACAGUUAGCGGUUCACAUGAAAUUAUUGCAUUAUGGCUAACACCUUUGCAGACCACUUGCAAUCAGACGAGGCUUCGUCAUAUGUGCAAAGUAACAAACGUGGUUCUAU